CACAUUUUGCGCCCCCUUGGGCACCGAGGAUCGCGCCCUCGGCUUGAAGGCUACCUGGUCUGAAGGUUGCGGGCGGCUGCAGAGGUCGGCCUCGAAGCCGGAGUUUGGGGUCCCGGCGGCGCUCGGAGCUGCGGGCGGGAGGUGCCUGGGCGAUCCGCGCCCCGCGACGAUAGCCUUGCUGUGGGCGCCCUCGCCCAGGAGGUGGCGCUGCAGGCUCUCCCAAGGCCCGGACCACCCGCGGAAGGCAGCCGUGCUCUGGGUCGAAGAUGUCAGUUGACGAAUGCAACUGCUUAACACCGCGCCCUUGGCCCGAGUCUCCAAAUCCUCCAGCAAACCUGUUCUGCACGAGUCAGGACCUGCCUCUUGUAGGACGCCGGCCGUCAACUCAGGACUGGGCCCUGCUGCAGAGCUAACGGGUUCAUGCUCAGAGUAUUAACCAUUCUGUUUCAUUUUUCCUAAAACUUUUUGUUAUCGAAAUGGAUCCACAUUGAUGCAAAAUGUUUGACUCCGUUGACAUAAUAUCUUUAAAGAGAAGUACGCAAACAUAGCAGAUUCUCCACCAGCCACUUCCCGGAGAAGGAAACAGGGUAAAUAGAACGGAGAGAUUUUCUGAGAAGGGGAACUGUGACCAGCUUGUGAUGCACAAGCCCAGGUUCGCCUGCCUGAGGGUGACAUCAAAUGAGUCAUGCUAGCCUCCCUGCCUCCCCCCCACUGCCCCAUCUGAUUUGGAAACUGACUGCAAAUUCGUGAACAAGUCUAGGUUCCAGUGAGUGGCAAUGGGGGAUUAGAAGACAAAUACUCACAAACACAGAUUUUGAAGAUGAAGCUGGGAUCAGGUGGAGUGCUGCUGUCUGUUGGAGAUCCGGA